rnacentral:rRNA from 1 species
UACGUAGGGGGCAAGCGUUGUCCGGAAUCAUUGGGCGUAAAGAGCGUGUAGGCGGCCCGGUCAGUCCGGCCGUGAAAGUCCAGGGCUCAACCCUGGAAUGCCGGUGGAACUGAUCGCCGGCUGAGUCCGGAAGAGGCGAGUGGAAUUCCUGGUGUAGCGGUGAAAUGCGCAGAUAUCAGGAGGAACACCAAUGGCGAAGGCAGCUCGCUGGGACGGUACUGACGCUGGAGACGCGAAAGCGUGGGGAGCAAACAGG